rnacentral:rRNA from 1 species
AACGCGAAGAACCUUACCAAGUCUUGACAUACUGUGAAGACACAGGAGAUUGUGUUGUUCUGACCUUUGGUUAGACACAGAUACAGGUGGUGCAUGGUUGUCGUCAGCUCGUGUCGUGAGAUGUUGGGUUAAGUCCCGCAACGAGCGCAACCCUUAUAUCUAGUUGCCAGCAGUAAGAUGGGGACUCUAGAUAGACUGCCAGUGAUAAACUGGAGGAAGGUGGGGAUGACGUCAAAUCAUCAUGCCCCUUAUGACUUGGGCUACACACGUGCUACAAUGGAUAGGAACAAAGAGAAGCGAGCUCGCGAGAGUAAGCAAACCUCACAAAACUAUUCUCAGUUCGGAUUGUAGUCUGCAACUCAACUACAUGAAGCUGGAAUCGCUAGUAAUCGCGAAUCAGAAUGUCGCGGUGAAUACGUUCCCGGGUCUUGUACACACCG